rnacentral:lncRNA from 1 species
GUUAUCUGGAAGCUGAGUUAUGGCAACUGGACUUCUUUUGUACUAGGCUGAAACGUUUUGCGACUCAUCCAGGUAGCUUCGUCAGUCUGAGGAGAGAUACAGUAUAUCCUCCACAUUGGUUUCACUUCCCCCUGGUCUGAAUAGGCUUGUUAGAAGGACAUAGGACUGGGGGUGAGGGAUAAUCCCACAUUUGCAGUCCUUCUCCACCCAUUGUCAUGGGUCAUUAAUGGUCGUUAACAGUAGUCCUUCUGGUGUGUGUGGCCCUGAUCUUUCAUCAGGAAGGACAAAAGAGCAGCAUGAUAAGUAGGAGCCAGAUUGUAUCUUUUGAACACAGUGAGUCGAGCAGAGAUGUCCAGCACUCCGUCUUGCCCGGUGAUUUUUGACACCUUUCAGCCUGUCACGCCUGAUUCGGUGGCCAAGGUGCUUGAUCGCUGCCGUGCCACCACCUCCUCCCUUGACCCUUGCCCGGCCUGGCUAAUCAAAGCAGCCAGGCCGAUAAAAACUGAAUGGGCCACUGUAAUAAUAAAUGGGUCUUUCCUUGAGGGCAGGUUUCCUUCUGCCCUCAAGGAAACACUCAUUAGGCCCAUAAGAAAGAAACCUAGUUUGGCGGCGGACAAAAUUGGCAAUUAUAGGCCCGUCGCCAACGUUUGUUUCAUGAGCAAGGUGGUGGAGAGGGUGGUGGCCGACCAGCUUCAAGCUCACUUGGAAGAAACGGAUGCCCUGGAUCCAUUUCAGUCGGGCUUCAGGCCGCGCCACGGAACAGAGACGGCAUUGGUCGCCCUGUACGAUGACCUACUGAGGGAGGCUGACAGGGGAAAAAUUUCUCUGUUAGUCCUUCUCGACAUCUCAGCGGCCUUCGAUACCGUCGACCACGGUAUCCUCCUGGGGAGGCUCUCCGAGCUGGGAAUUGGUGGCCUGGCGCUUGCCUGGCUCCGUUCCUUCUUGGAGGACCGUCCCCAGAGAGUACAGCUUGGGGAGAGUGUCUCGGCCCCGUGGAGCCUCAAUUGUGGGGUUCCACAGGGGUCGAUUAUCUCCCCAAUGCUGUUUAAUN